CGGCGUGCUUAACACAUGCAAGUCGAACGGAGUUUUUAAACGGAAGUUUUCGGAUGGAAGUUUAAGAACUUAGUGGCGGACGGGUGAGUGACGCGUGGGUAACCAGCCUCAUACAGGGGGAUAACAGUUAGAAAUGACUGCUAACACCGCAUAAUAUAGUGAAACCGCAUGAUUUUUGCUAUCAAAUAUUUAUAGGUAUGGAGAUGGGCCCGCGUCUGAUUAGCUAGUUGGUGGGGUAAAAGCCUACCAAGGCGACGAUCAGUAGCCGGCUUGAGAGAGUGACCGGCCACAUUGGGACUGAGACACGGCCCAAACUCCUACGGGAGGCAGCAGUGGGGAAUAUUGGACAAUGGGGGAAACCCUGAUCCAGCGAACCGCCGCGUGAGUGAAGAAGUAUUUCGGUAUGUAAAGCUCUAUCAGCAGGGAAGAUAAUGACAGUACCUGACUAAGAAGCCCCGGCUAACUACGUGCCAGCCGCAGC
rnacentral:rRNA from 1 species